rnacentral:rRNA from 1 species
GAAGGGGGCUAGCGUUGCUCGGAAUCACUGGGCGUAAAGGGUGCGUAGGCGGGUCUUUAAGUCAGGGGUGAAAUCCUGGAGCUCAACUCCAGAACUGCCUUUGAUACUGAGGAUCUUGAGUUCGGGAGAGGUGAGUGGAACUGCGAGUGUAGAGGCGAAAUUCGUAGAUAUUCGCAAGAACACCAGUGGCGAAGGCGGCUCACUGGCCCGAUACUGACGCUGAGGCACGAAAGCGUGGGGGGGAGCAAACAGGAUUAGAUACCCUGGUAGUCCACGCCGUAAACGAUGAAUGCCCAGCCGUUAGUGGGUUUACUCACUAGUGGCGCAGCUAACGCUUUAAGCAUUCCGCCUGGGAGUACGGUCGCAAGAUUA